UACAGGGGGGGCGAGCGUUAAUCGGAAUUACUGGGCGUAAAGCGUGCGUAGACGGUCAUGUAAGUCGGGUGUGAAAUCCCCGGGCUCAACCUGGGAAUUGCAUUCGAGACUGCGUGGCUAGGGUGCGGAAGAGGGAAGCGGAAUUGCCGGUGUAGCGGUGAAAUGCGUAGAUAUCGGAAGGAACAUCAGUGGCGAAAGCGGCUUCCUGGUCCAGCACCGACGUUCAGGCACGAAAGCGUGGGGAGCAAACAGG
rnacentral:rRNA from 1 species